rnacentral:tRNA from 1 species
CAGGGAGACAACAACUGAUCGUGAUGUCUGAGUGAAUUAUUCUUAGACCAUGAUCCUGUCACCUUAGGUCGAUCGGUACCUCAGAUUAUUAGUCAAAAAGAAUUGAUUUUCAUUCUUUUUGACUAGUAAUUUCAGUUCCUAAACUUUGUCUAGGUCACACCCCACAAGGGUUACUCCUGGGCCAUUAGCUCAGGUGGUUAGAGCGCACCCCUGAUAAGGGUGAGGUCCCUGGUUCAAGUCCAGGAUGGCCCAUUCGGUGUUGGGGGUUUAGCUCAGUUGGUAGAGCGCCUGCUUUGCAAGCAGGAUGUCAGCGGUUCGAGUCCGCUAACCUCCACUGGCCAACCUCCUGCAAUGCCUAAAUCAUGAGGACCAUUGUGAGUUUUGACUUAGAUUUGUUUCCGCUGAUAGAAGAACCUAGCUUCCUUUCACUCCUAAUUUGAAUUAAAUCUGAAGUGGCUGAAAGGAUGCUGGGCUCACUGUUUUUCGUAAGAAUUACAGAGAAGUUCAGUAGAACCUUGACAACUGCAUAGGUGAGUCUGGAAAGAAUAAAGCAUCUCAUGGAUGCAUUUCCUUUUGAAUUAAUUUUCAAGGAAAAUGUUUAAUUCUUGAGUCAAGAGCCGAGACUCUACAACUUUUCUUUUUGCUCUUAUUUAAGGGCUGAGAGUUAGAUCAAUUAUUUAAACCUGAAAUCUUCUCUAAUUAAUUUAGGGAAACCAAAUGUAAGGAGAAUUUUUAAGGAAAAUAUUGAGAAUUCGUUUUCAACGACGUUAAUCGUUGUAGAGAUUUUAU